UCCAGAUGUCCUAAUGUCUGUCUUCUUUCAGAAUGCUUCAAGGAAACAGCCAUUACCUGGACUCUGUAACCCUGCCGCUGGAUGCCUAGUGAAGUCAUUUGACACGGACAGUGUGUGGAGGCAAGGUCUCUAAAUCUCCAGCUGAGCUACGAUGACACAGAAGCUCAUCCCGACACAGUAGAUUCUUUUGUGUUUAUCGACUCUGCACAUGAGUGUGAAGACGACAAGUAAUGUCACUGUGUUCGGUUAUUACCUUCUCCUCCAAGAGGCAGCAAGAAGGAAGACUUAGCUCACCAGCCCGGGUCCAAACAACAAGAAAAAAUAUUUCAGCAUUAUUCACAAUGGCCAGGACAUGGAAGCAACCUAAGUGCCCAUUGAUGGAUGAAUGGAUAAAGAAGUUGUGGAGAGGAAGAUCCCAGACCUUGGAAAUAGCCAUUUUUGAUCCCCAGAAAGAAGAAAUCCUGAAUUAACAAAGAAGAGGCUUAGGGCUCAGGUCUCUGAAGUCACUUGCUCAGGGACCCUGGCGAUGGAGACCUGGGAGGGAGAUUAUAGAAAGACUCAAGGUUUCCGGAGUUUGGACUGCUUAUGUAAACUUGGUGAGACAGCUACUGACCCCAAGGUCACCGUGACACCCCCUUUCGCAAAACACUGCUCUCUAGGUACAACAUCUUUACUAUUUUGGGUAAUUUUUCUUUAUCUACCGGAAUCUCCAUGGAGGCCCUUUCUCUCUCAUUUCUCUCCUGUGUAAGUGAAAUA
rnacentral:lncRNA from 1 species